GAAUCUACAAUGAAGUGUGUCUACAAUAGUGGUUCGCUCCGUUCCCCUCUCUACAGUAGCUGAGAGAGGCGAAACAGAGGCGAUCUUGAUUCCGGUGUCGAUCCGCCCAGUCCUUCCCCGCCGGCAGCCUUUCCGGCACCGGAUCGGGUGAGGGAUGGGGGCGGAUCGACCACCAGCGUAGCUGUAGCUGCUAGGUUAGGUUUGUAUCAUAUCUAGUAGGCUAGGGUUAGCUCAUCGUCCUCCAUGACGACGGAGCUCAGGUUUCCGGUGGUGGAGGUGCUCCUAUCCCGGCGAAUAAGGUUCCUCCGGGUCUUCGGCGAUGAUGACGGCGACAGCUUCGGCAUGGGCUUCGGUGAAAAUCAUAUCCGGCGGCUGGGAAGGUGGUGUUCCCAUCUCCAGUGAUGGAGGUAUGAGAUUUGCUUUCUCUUCCUUUGCGAAAAGGGGGGAAUCGUUUUCCUCUGCAGUGGGAUUGGAUGCCGGGUUGUCAGUGACGGCUGCAGAUGUGUUUUCCGGCCGUCAACUCCUUGGUCUUCGAUGCGUCAUGCUGGUACUGUCUGGAAGGUGGUGACGAAGAAGACGAUCACGAUUCUAGAUGGAUGGGGAAGAAUAGUACCUUCUAGAGACACAUGUAUUUUUCCUAUUCUCUGGGGUCUUGUUUGUUAAUGAGGGGAUGUACUGCAAUGCUGUUUAAUAUACCUUCCCUUUUCGCAAAAAAAAA